rnacentral:rRNA from 2 species
CUCCCUGAUGUCAGCGGCGGACGGGUGAGUAACACGUGGGUAACCUGCCUGUAAGACUGGGAUAACUCCGGGAAACCGGGGCUAAUACCGGAUGCUUGAUUGAACCGCAUGGUUCAAUUAUAAAAGGUGGCUUUUAGCUACCACUUACAGAUGGACCCGCGGCGCAUUAGCUAGUUGGUGAGGUAACGGCUCACCAAGGCAACGAUGCGUAGCCGACCUGAGAGGGUGAUCGGCCACACUGGGACUGAGACACGGCCCAGACUCCUACGGGAGGCAGCAGUAGGGAAUCUUCCGCAAUGGACGAAAGUCUGACGGAGCAACGCCGCGUGAGUGAUGAAGGUUUUCGGAUCGUAAAACUCUGUUGUUAGGGAAGAACAAGUACCGUUCGAAUAGGGCGGUACCUUGACGGUACCUACCCAGAAUGCCGCGUUCUAACUACGGUGCCAGCAGU